GGGGGGUGGAGUCCCUACCGGAGGGGCCCGCUGUGGCCGAACCAGGACCAGGGGCGGUGUGACGUCGAUCAGCAAAAGAGAAAUGAUCGAUGUACACUCCGUGCCAGUGGUGACCUUGAGCUUCAUAUCCACCAGCCCAGCAACAUCUGAUACUAUGAUGCUGGCCAGCGCAAGCUAUGAGGAGCAUGCCAGGUGUGGAAGACACCCAGGGAAGAGGCCACAGGCUUACCAGGACCUUGGAGUUAACCGGGGAGCUUCCCUUGAAGUUUGUAAAGAUAGCCUUCGAAGUCAUGAGAAACAACAGCCCCACCUGAAGCUUGCCACCGGACAUGUCUUUAACCUUCAGCUGUGUCCCCUUCAGGUGCAAGGGAUCUUUUUGUUUUUUUUCCACUAGGAAAACCUUGUUUACUUCCAAGACCACCAAUGGAAGCUUCCAGCUGUACCCAAGCCAUUCCAGCAGAGGACACAGAGGACAUACCUGAGUUUGAGGCAGAGCCCAGCGGUUAUGGAGCCCCAUGGACAAGAGGAUCACCAACCUCCUGUUUGGGUCCACCUCCUCUCAUGAACUGUUUUCCCAGAAGCACACCCUUCCCUAAUCACAGCGCCUACUGUGCCUGACAAAGGGAUAGGCGCCACAGCAAGUGCUGUGGACAGGGAGGCAACCGAGUACAGACUUGGCACAUUAAUACAGCACCAGCAGGAAUAGCCUUCCUGGAUCCAGCAGGAAGUGGAACCUGCAUGUUCAUGACAGGUGCUUCUGAUGUGGCCUCAGAGGUCUUCAUGUACUUGGAGCAAGUGUUUGCUUCUAGUGCAUACUUGUAGCAUGUCCGCAAGAGCUGCUGGUUCCUCCCUUGUGGACAACAUAUAUGUGGUAACUGCAGGGCAGAGAUGACCAGCAAGUUUGUUGCAGAAACAGUUAAAGGUUCCACAGCAGACCUCUUGUCUCCAUCCUGCAGGCUACACAGUGAAUGGGAUGGAAGCCAGAGAGCCCCCCCAGCCCAAGGCAGAACCCAGAGGGAUCAAAAGGAAAUGGACAGAAUUCUGUCAGAAGUCAGUUCCAGAACCAUAGGACCGGGGAAGACAGACAACCCUAAUAUCAUCCUUCUUUGGCUCCUUAGCUCCCUGACACUAGGGUUGAGGGAAAGGAAAAAGCCCCAGCAGCCCAGGAGACUGAGGACACAACUCCUCCUCCAAGAAAACACCACAAAGGAGUCCUAGGUUAUGCCAAAAUUGAACUACCACUCGUUCAGGGUCUUCAAUCAAAAGGGUUCUUCAUGAACUUCAAAGCCUGUCUUAUUGUACAGAGUAGAGAGAUGAACAUCAAAUCCAAGAUGGUGGAGGAGUCAGCGUGGAGGCCCCCAUGCAGUCUUCUCAGUGCGGCAGGGGUGAGGUACCACUGAACUAUAUAUCGGAGACCAAGGAUGCAGGAAAAGCCUGUUAGAAAAGGAGUUACAGCAUGGAGACCUAGGUAUUUCCAGUUAUUUCUAAAGCUUGCCUUAGAUUUAGGUAAAUAACUUUAAAAAAAAAAAGUACAUUUUAAGAAUUAAAACACCAUAAAGCACAAUUCAAAGGCACAUCUCUUUUUGUCAUGAAAUUCACAAAUGCGUGUUGGUGGGAAGAGUCUGGUAGGUGAUGGAAGAAUUGGAAAACACCUGUAUUCACACCAAGAAUGAAACUGUGACUCAGUGGGCCUGUGCUGUGCUGGUCAAAGGAGGAGUCUCUUUCCUUCUUUCUUAAUCUGUUUGGAUUGCUGUAACAAACAUAUCAUAAACUGGGUGGCUUAUAAAUGAACAUUUAUUUCUCACCGUUCUGGAGGCUGGGAAAGCUAAGAUCAUGGUGCCAGCAGAUACAUUGACUGGUGAGAGACCACUUCCUUAUUUAUGGCUAUCUUCUCACUGGAACCUCUGAUAGCAGAAGGGACAAGGGUUUGCUCUGGGGUCUCUUUUUUAAGGGCACUAAUUACAUUCAUGAGGAUACCACCCUUAGGACCUAAUCCUAAUCCUCUCAAAGACCCUACCUCCUAAUCCCAUCACUUUGUGGGGUAGGAUUUCAACAUGUGAAUAUUCAAGGAACACAAACAGAAAAAAAAUCUAUAGUGCCUUCCUUCCUUUUCUCUAAAAUGCAUCUACUUAAUUAUGUAACCGAAUGAGCCUCAAACUCCGGUGGACUUCAGAAUCAGCAGAAGUGCUCUCUGAAAUGCUUAUUCUUGGCCUUAGACAAACUGUUAUAGGACCAUCUUAAGUGGUGCUGAUGGAGAUGACUCCGGAUCUUCACUCAGAAGAACAGGUCCAAUUUAAGAACUGACCCUGAGUGUCAGCAAGUAGGCCCUGUACAUUUUUUUUUUAUGCAGAUGUGCUCAUCUUUUUGAACUAUGUGCUGGUUCAUUUUAAUCAUACCUACUGUAGACAUUCACCUCAUUAACAAAUGUUGGAAUAAGAGCUUACCGUAUGCCAGGCACUGUUUUAGGUGUGUACCAGUUAAACACUUUUGAUUUUUUAAAGAUCUGUUUUUUGUAAUGCUAUAUACAGUCUACCUUAUUUUUAUGGUAGCUGUGUUGUAGGGGUGAGUGCUGUAUAAACUUAAGUGACAGAGGAUAGGAUGGGAUGGAGAAGAGAGACAAGGCUUUUUGUUCUUAUCCUUCUGCUGAUUACCUUUGCAAACUAUAGGGGAUGCAUCAAGCUUCCAAGGCUUUAUAAUGUUACCAAAAAUGUAAAUACAAGUAUGCCAUGACAUAUGUAGGAAAAGACAAUUGUUUUUCAACAGUGGGUUAGGGGACGGGGAGGUCCUGAAGCAGUGGCUACACAGUACAAAAGAAAAUGACACAUCCUUCUGUUAUUUUGAGAAGGUAUCCAAAUUUGGGAAGCAUUAACUUAUCUUUCUCCCCUCUUAAUGAAUGGACAUUAGGUUGAAGGCAUGGGACAGCACACAUAUUUAAGGAAAGGAAAUAAAAUGUCUUAUUUUCUUAGGA